GGCGGAGGGGCUAGCGUUGUUCGGAAUUACUGGGCGUAAGCGCACGUAGGCGGCCUUCAAGUCAGAUGUGAAGCCCCGGGCUUAACCCGGAAUUGCAUUUGAUACUGUUGGGCUUGAGACCGGGAGAGGAUAGCGGAAUUCCCAGUGUAGAGGUGAAAUUCGUAGAUAUUGGGAAGAACACCAGUGGCGAAGGCGGCUCACUGGCCCGAUACUGACGCUGAGGUGCGAAAGCGUGGGAGCAACAGG
rnacentral:rRNA from 1 species